rnacentral:rRNA from 1 species
CCCUUAGAUGUUCUGGGCCGCACGCGCGCUACACUGACGAAUGCAACGAGCUUAUAACCUUGGCCGAAAGGUCUGGGUAAUCUCCAAAUUUCGUCGUGAUGGGGAUAGAUUAUUGCAAUUAUUAAUCUUCAACGAGGAAUGCCUAGUAAGCGCAAGUCAUCAGCUUGCGUUGAUUACGUCCCUGCCCUUUGUACACACCGCCCGUCGCUCCUACCGAUUGAAUGGUCCGGUGAAGCGUUCGGACCGUGGCCUUUGGACGGUUCGCCGUCUGUUGGCUGCGGGAAGUUCGUUAAACCUUAUCAUUUAGAGGAAGGAGGAGUCGUANCA